CCAGAAAUUGACACGGAUCAGACGGAGUCAGCCACAAACCAUCGGCGAUGUGAAGAGCGAAGCCAAGCGAAG